UUGCUGCGUAUAUAAUAUUAUAUAAUUACAUUAAAAACGAUAAACUUAUAAUAUAAAAGUUUAGAACUACAAUAUAAAAGAGUUUGUUUUGUAAACAUAGGUUACAUCUUUUGGUAUAUACAUAGUGUCACAAAAGAUGACAAAAGAGUGCUAAUUAUACAAUUUGUACAUCAGCGCAAAAUAGAGGGAUGUUGAGGUGCAGAACGAAGUGAAAUCCCUCCUUCGAAAUGAGACAUAUCAUUUUGUUGCUAAUCUUCCUGAAAAAACU
rnacentral:lncRNA from 1 species